AGAACGAACGCUGGCGGCAUGCCUAACACAUGCAAGUCGAACGAGACCUUCGGGUCUAGUGGCGCACGGGUGCGUAACGCGUGGGAAUCUGCCCUUGGGUUCGGAAUAACAGCGAGAAAUUGCUGCUAAUACCGGAUGAUGACGUAAGUCCAAAGAUUUAUCGCCCAAGGAUGAGCCCGCGUAGGAUUAGCUUGUUGGUGAGGUAAGAGCUCACCAAGGCGACGAUCCUUAGCUGGUCUGAGAGGAUGAUCAGUCACACCGGAACUGAGACACGGU
rnacentral:rRNA from 1 species